rnacentral:lncRNA from 1 species
UUUUCUUUCUCUAUGUUGUCAUUUUUGUCUUCCCUUCCUGGUUCACUUCACAUGUUGUUAUCAAACAUUUCUCUUCAGCAUCAUCAUUAAAUGAUCAAAAUUACAUGGCAACUUUUGGUUUUCUAAUUUGUCAAAUUAAUUUCGUUAACGUUAAAGCAAACCAUUUUGGGGGUGGUCUUCUUCAUGCGUCCUUUUUUGACUUUUGACAAAGGAUUUUUUUUUUUUUUUAUCGGCUUUGACAGAGGAAGUUAAUACACUUGG